AUUUUUAUUUUUUGUUCGUUUGCUUUAUUUUAGGAUUUCUCCUCUUGCUUUACUUUUUUCUCUCUCUUAUGUGGAAAUCUUUACCACUCCUAGACCAGAUAUUGAGUUCCCUUAAACUUUCAUUUUCUAUCUUCUACCCCCAAAUCCUGAUAUUUGAAAGUUGCUUCACACUUGUGGCAAUAUAUGCUCACAGGAUUAUUAGUAAUAUAUUAUUUCAAUAGAUAUUUGUCUUUCUAUGUAAAACACAAAGAUAAAUGGCAUUGCUAUAAAAGUGCCUAAGUCUAUAAAACAAGAAACAGUUUUUAUCCUUAAGUAAUUGAUAAUCCAGUUUUUUAAAAAAGUUUAAUUACAUCACAUAUCCUAUUAAGGUUUUAUAUAGUUCUAUUAUGAUUGAAAACUUAAGGCAAAUUGAUGGAUUUUAGGUGGGUUGUUUACUUAAUUCAGACCUGGAAGGCAGAAAUUAGACAGAAUGCAAAUCAAGGAUCACUCCAGGUAAGCAAACACACAUGUAUUGACUGCUCUGUGCAAACUGCUUGGUAUGUCUGGGCAAUACACAGUGGAAAGAAGUAUCCUCCAAAGGCUUAAACUUGUUAGACAGACAUACUCAUGAACUGAUAUUUUUAAACUUAACUCAGUGAAGUUUUACUGGCGUUUGGCACUCACUUCUAAAGAAAUGGAGAAUACAGGUGUUUAGCCAGACCUGCACAAGGUGCCUUCGAGGAAAUAUUUGUAAGCCACACGU